GACGAACGCUGGCGGCGUGCCUAAUACAUGCAAGUUGAGCGAUGAAGAUUGGUGCUUGCACCAAUUUGAAGAGCAGCGAACGGGUGAGUAACGCGUGGGGAAUCUGCCUUUGAGCGGGGGACAACAUUUGGAAACGAAUGCUAAUACCGCAUAACAACUUUAAACAUAAGUUUUAAGUUUGAAAGAUGCAAUUGCAUCACUCAAAGAUGAUCCCGCGUUGUAUUAGCUAGUUGGUGAGGUAAAGGCUCACCAAGGCGAUGAUACAUAGCCGACCUGAGAGGGUGAUCGGCCACCUUGGGACUGAGACACGGCCCAAACUCCUACGGGAGGCAGCAGUAGGGAAUCUUCGGCAAUGGACGAAAGUCUGACCGAGCAACGCCGCGUGAGUGAAGAAGGGUUUCGGAUCGUAAAACUCUGUUGGUAGAGAAGAACGUUGGUGAGAGUGGAAAGCUCAUCAAGUGACGGUAACUACCCAGAAAGGGACGGCUAACUACGUG
rnacentral:rRNA from 1 species